GAUGAACGCUGGCGGCGUGCUUAACACAUGCAAGUCGAACGAAGCAUUUGCGACAGAUUUUUUCGGAAUGAAGUUGCUUAUGACUGAGUGGCGGACGGGUGAGUAACUCGUGGGUAACCUGCCUUGUACUGGGGGAUAGCAGCUGGAAACGGCUGGUAAUACCGCAUAAGCGCACAAUGUUGCAUGACAUGGUGUGAAAAACUCCGGUGGUAUAAGAUGGACCCGCGUCUGAUUAGCUAGUUGGUGAGAUAACAGCCCACCAAGGCGGCGAUCAGUAGCCGACCUGAGAGGGUGACCGGCCACAUUGGGACUGAGACACGGCCCAGACUCCUACGGGAGGCAGCAGUGGGGAAUAUUGCACAAUGGAGGAAACUCUGAUGCAGCGACGCCGCGUGAGUGAAGAAGUAAUUCGUUAUGUAAAGCUCUAUCAGCAGGGAAGAUAGUGACGGUACCUGACUAAGAAGCACCGGCUAAAUACGUG
rnacentral:rRNA from 1 species